rnacentral:rRNA from 1 species
CGGUUAAGUUAGAAAGGGCGCACGGUGGAUGCCUUGGCACUAGGAGCCGAUGAAGGACGGGACUAACACCGAUAUGCUUCGGGGAGCUGUAAGUAAGCUUUGAUCCGGAGAUUUCCGAAUGGGGAAACCCACUGUUCGUAAUGGAACAGUAUCUUUACCUGAAUACAUAGGGUACUGAAGGCAGACCCGGGGAACUGAAACAUCUAAGUACCCGGAGGAAGAGAAAGCAAACGCGAUUUCCUGAGUAGCGGCGAGCGAAACGGAAUUAGCCCAAACCAAGAGGC